rnacentral:snRNA from 10 species
GGAUGUGAGGGUGAUCUCACUGCAACAUCUGUCACCCCAUUGAUUGCCAGCGUUGAUUUGGCUGAUCCAGCUGGAUAGGCAGGUGUCUCUUUUCUCCCUCACUGCUCCAUGUGCAUCUCUCUUGAAGCUGCGCACUGGUCGAAGGGGACGACCAUCACCCAUAGAGAAGUACUGGUCUUCAGUCAAGGGUAUACAAGAAGCUGCAUUCUCCUGUUAGAACCUCCAAACAAGCUCUCAAGGUCCAUUUGUAGGAGAAUGUAGGGUAGUCAAGCUUCCAAGACUCCAGACACUUCCAAAUGAGGUGCUGCAUAUAGCAGUCUGCCUUUCUUU